ACUCAAAUGAAUAGACGGGGACCCGCACAAGCGGUGGAACAUGUGGUUUAAUUCGAAGCAACGCGAAAAACCUUACCAGGACUUGACAUCUAAGGAACCUUAGUGAAAGCUAGGGGUGCCCUUCGGGGAGCCUUAAGACAGGUGGUGCACGGUUGUCGUCAGCUCGUGUCGUGAGAUGUUGGGUUAAGUCCCGCAACGAGCGCAACCCUCGUCGUUAGUUGGUCACUGUGGCAUGCUGCAGUGUAUCUCUCUAGCGAGACUGCCGGUGAUAAACCGGAGGAAGGUGAGGACGACGUCAAAUCAUCAUGCCCCUUAUGUUCUGGGCUACACACGUGUUACAAUGGCUAGUACAACGAGCAGCCAACUCGCGAGAGUGAGCAAAUCUCUUAAACCUAGUCUCAGUUCGGAUUGCACUCUGCAACUCGAGUGCAUGAAGUCGGAAUCGCUAGUAAACGCAGAUCAGCACGCUGCGUUGAAUACGUUCCCGGGUCUUGCACACACCGCCCGU
rnacentral:rRNA from 1 species